rnacentral:rRNA from 1 species
UACGUAGGCAGCGAGCGUUGUUCGGAGUUACUGGGCGUAAAGGGUGUGUAGGCGGUCCUCUAAGUUUGGUGUGAAAUCUCCCGGCUCAACCGGGAGGGUGCGCCGAAAACUGGGGGGCUAGAGUGCGGGAUGGGUAAGUGGAAUUCCUGGUGUAGCGGUGAAAUGCGUAGAUAUCAGGAGGAACACCUGUGGCGAAGGCGAGUCCCUGGACAAUACCUGACACUGAGGCACGAAAGCUAGGGGAGCAAACAGG